rnacentral:lncRNA from 1 species
CGGUGUCGGGUGGUCGCUGGGCUCCGGGCCCGGCACCUGCCGGCCCCGGUAUGCGCGGCCCGGCCCCGGUGCACGGCCUGCGGGGGCACGGGGCACGCUUGCACACCCCCCCCGGUUGCACGCUGCACAGUGCACGGUUGCACACCAAAUAUUUGCACGCUGCAUGGUUGCACGGUGCACACCCCGUGGGUGCACGCUGCACGGUUGCACACCACACGGUUGCACGGUGCAUGGGUGCACGGUGCAAAGUGCACGUUUGCACACUACAUGGUUGCACACCCCAUGGUUGCACAGUGCACGUUGCACAGAUGCACACCACACAGUUGCACAGUGCACAUUGCACGGUUGCACACCACACAGUUGCACAGUGCAUGGUUGCACACCACACAAUUGCAUGGUGCAUGGGUGCACGGUACACAUUUGCACGCUACAUGGUUGCACACCCCAUGGUUGCACAGUGCACAUUGCACGGUUGCACACCACAUGGUUGCAAACCCCAUGGUUGCACACCCCAUGGUUGCACGGUGCACAGUGCACAGUUGCACACCACGCGGUUGCAUGGUGCACAAUCACACAGUCCAUGGUUGCAUGGUGCACAUUUGCACACUACACGACUCCCAGUGCAUGGCUGCUCAGCACACAGUCACACCACGCACAUUGCACAGUCGCACACCACACAGUCACACUGUGCACGGUUGUGUGGUGCACAGUGCACGUUUGCACACCACAUGGUUGCACACUACACGGUUGCACGGUGCACAGUUGCUCAGCAUACAGCUGCAGGGUGCACGAUGCAUGGUUGCACACCGCAUGGCUGCACGGUGCACGCUCACACAGGGCAUGCUGCACGCUUGCACGCUGCAUGGGGCAGGUUGCACGCUGCAUGGAGCACAGGACGGGUUGCACGUUGCACACUGCUUCUUGCACACCAGCACCGUGCACCCCUGGGGGGCACCCAGCACCCCACGGGCUGCAGCGGGUGGCCCUGGGUGGGUGCUGCGGGCGCUGGGUGACCUUGAUGGGUGACAGACACCACGGCUCCAGUUAUGCUCCCACAGGGCCUGUACUGGGAGCACUGGGAGCACUGGGAGCCAAGCAGGGAGGGAGCAAACCCCAGGCUCAGGCAGCGUGGGCAAAGGGCGACAGGGGACAAAGGGACACUGGGGGGGGGGGGGACAUAUUGGAGUGUCCCCACGGGGGACACCGGCCCCACGCCGGGGGGGGGCGCCCGGGGGGGGCGCCCCC